rnacentral:rRNA from 1 species
CAGCAGCCGCGGUAAUACGAAGGGGGCUAGCGUUGUUAGGAUUUACUGGGCGUAAAGCGCACGUAGGCGGAUCGAUCAGUCAGGGGUGAAAUCCCAGAGCUCAACUCUGGAACUGCCUUUGAUACUGUCGAUCUGGAGUAUGGAAGAGGUGAGUGGAAUUCCGAGUGUAGAGGUGAAAUUCGUAGAUAUUCGGAGGAACACCAGUGGCGAAGGCGGCUCACUGGUCCAUUACUGACGCUGAGGUGCGAAAGCGUGGGGAGCAAACAGGAUUAGAUACCCCAGUAGUCCCUGUCUCUUAUAA